rnacentral:rRNA from 1 species
UACGAAGGGGGCUAGCGUUGUUCGGAAUUACUGGGCGUAAAGGGCUCGUAGGCGGCCAACUAAGUCGGACGUGAAAUCCCCAGGCUCAACCUGGGAACUGCGUCCGAUACUGGAUGGCUUGAAUUCGGGAGAGGGAUGCAGAAUUCCAGGUGUAGCGGUGAAAUGCGUAGAUAUCUGGAGGAAUACCGGUGGCGAAGGCGGCAUCCUGGACCGACAUUGACGCUGAUGAGCGAAAGCCAGGGGAGCAAACGGG